rnacentral:rRNA from 1 species
UACGUAGGGUGCAAGCGUUAUCCGGAAUUACUGGGCGUAAAGCGUGCGCAGGCGGUUUGCUAAGACCGAUGUGAAAUCCCCGGGCUUAACCUGGGAACUGCAUUGGUGACUGGCAAGCUAGAGUGUGGCAGAGGGGGGUAGAAUUCCACGUGUAGCAGUGAAAUGCGUAGAGAUGUGGAGGAAUACCGAUGGCGAAGGCAGCCCCCUGGGCUAACACUGACGCUCAUGCACGAAAGCGUGGGGAGCAAACAGG